GAGUUUGAUCGUGGCUCAGGAUGAACGCUGGCGGCGUGCCUAAUACAUGCAAGUCGAGCGAACAGACGAGGAGCUUGCUCCUCUGACGUUAGCGGCGGACGGGUGAGUAACACGUGGAUAACCUACCUAUAAGACUGGGAUAACUUCGGGAAACCGGAGCUAAUACCGAAUAAUAUAUUGAACCGCAUGGUUCAAUAGUGAAAAACGGUUUUGCUGUCACUUAUAGAUGGAUCCGCGCCGCAUUAGCUAGUUGGUAGGGUAACGGGCUUACCAAGGCGACGAUGCGUAGCCGACCUGAGAGGGUGAUCGGCCACACUGGAACUGAGACACGGUCCAGACUCCUACGGGAGGCAGCAGUAGGGAAUCUUCCGCAAUGGGCGAAAGCCUGACGGAGCAACGCCGCGUGAGUGAUGAAGGUCUUCGGAUCGUAAAACUCUGUUAUUAGGGAAGAACAAAUGUGUAAGUAACUAUGCACGUCUUGACGGUACCUAAUCAGAAAGCCACGGCUAACUACGUGCCAGCACG
rnacentral:rRNA from 1 species